rnacentral:rRNA from 1 species
UACGUAGGUGGCAAGCGUUGUCCGGAUUUACUGGGCGUAAAGAGCGCGCAGGCGGUCGUUCAAGUCGAGUGUGAAAGCCCCCGGCUCAACUGGGGAGGGUCACUCGAUACUGAUCGACUCGAAGGCAGGAGAGGGAAGUGGAAUUCCCGGUGUAGUGGUGAAAUGCGUAGAUAUCGGGGGGAACACCAGUGGCGAAGGCGACUUCCUGGCCUGUUCUUGACGCUGAGGCGCGAAAGCUAGGGGAGCAAACGGG